AUACUUACCUGGCAGGGGAGGUAUCAUGAUCAUGAAUGUGGUUUUCCCAGGUCAAGGCUUAUAUCCACCUCACUACAGAUGUGCUGAUCCCUGUGAUUUUCCUACAUGUGGGAAACUCGAGUGCAUAAUUUGUGGUAAUGGGGUACUGUGUUCUUGUUCUCCCUUG
rnacentral:snRNA from 1 species